AAAAUAAACAAUUCUGUUUCUCUCGUAUUGGUCUCUCCUUUCUUCAGUUUACCCUAACACAAAUAUUUCCACCUCUUCUCCCAUCUCAGCGCCUCCUCUGCUCUCCCUGUUACAUUCUCUCUUCCCUGUUAUACCCUCAUCCCCACUCUCUAGCACCCCAGAUCCCCAGGUGUCCUCCCUGCUGUGCUUCUCCCUCUGUUCUCCUUGCCACCAGCACCACUCUGCUGUCUGCCCUGGCUCCAAAUCCCUCUUCCUCUCCCUCACUCUGAUGAGCCUCCCUCUUUGCUGCCCCUCUCCCUACCUUGCUGUCCUUCAUCUCUCUGUACAUCCAGCUUUUCUCUACAUUUCUCCACUUGCUUUUCUCUUGCUUUCUUAUCGUUUUCUUUUCACUUUUGCUGUCUCUUGGCAAAUCCCUCACCCAUCCUCUACUUUGCCAUCUCUUAUGGUUCUUUCUCAUUCUUCUUUUCUCUGUCUCGGGUUUUCUACUGCUGUCCGUCUCCCGAUCCCUUUGGCCCACACAAUCACAGGAGGGUUUGAUGUAAGACGCCUGCAUCCCGGAGGAGCGUAUUUUCCAGGGGUUGGAACUGGGCAGACGGGAGAGAAUUUCCAGAUCCGUGGGGACCCUACGUCCCAGGGACAGAAACGCUGAGGACCUGGGAAGUGCAGACUUAAUACAAAACAGCGAAACUCACCGCCGCGGUGUGACCGUCACUCCACGCGAUCCGCUUCCACAUUUGCGAGAAUCUGCGCGCGCAGGACGGAAGCCAGGCCUCGGCGGCCCCGCGAGGUGGUGGGCGGGGCCUGGGCCGGGUAGCGGCCGCGCGCGAAGCGGACUUUGCGGUUUAGAACCGGCAGAGGGCGGGGCCGUGGCGGGACCUGUGUGUUCACAUCCUAGCUCCCAGCGCCUCUGUUUUUCCGGUUUGGGAGGCGAGAGUGGCCAGGAAGUAUGAGGCAUGAUUCAAAAGCCCUGAAUUUUCUGGAACGGGGAUGCAAACUAGAAUGUGAAAUGCAAAGCCCUGCGUGGGCGGAACAUAGGAUUUCAUGCUGACGGCCCACAGAACAGAACAGAAAUCCUCUCCCUUUCUAUUCUCCAUUCACACGGGAGGGAGGGUCCGCCCUGUGCUCAGCUUCAGAGACUUCCCUAAAGCCACUGCCUGGGAUGCGGGACUGAGUGCUCAGGCCAGGGAGGAGUGUGGUCACCACCUGCUGCUUAAACACAGCAGGGGUGCAGGCGCGAAGGCGGGAGCCUGAGGUCCCAGCUACUCAGGAAGUAGGAGCAGGAAGAUCGCUGAGCCCUGGGGUCCAGGCCAGCCUGGGCGACAAAGUAACACUCCCUCCCGCAAGGCCACCUUCCUUGUCUCCCUCUCUCUCCGUCUCUCUCUCUCUCUCGCUUUUUAAACCUUUUUAAAUAAAAUUUUUGAUGGUGUGACAUAGGUAUCCAACAUUAUUCUGUUCCGUGUGGAUAUCCAGUUAGUUGUUCCAGCACAUUUGUGGAAGAGAUCUAUUACUUUUUUUUCACGUUUUUCUUUUCUUUUUCUUUGAGGGAGUCUCCCUCUGUCGCCCAGGCUGGCGUGAAGGGGCGUGAUCUCUGCUCACUGCGACCUCUGCCUCCUGGGUUGAAGCGAUUCUCCUGCCUCAGCCUCCGGAGUAUUACUGGUAUUAGAGGCACGCGCGACCAUGCCCGGCUAAUUUUUGUAUUUUUGAUAGAGGCGGGCUUUCACCAUGUUGGCCAGGCUGGUCUCAAACUCCGAACUUCAAGUAAUCUACCUGCCUUGGCCUCCUAAAGUGCUGGGACUACAGGCGUGGGCUACCUUGCGUAGCCUAAGGAAUACUCUUUACUAUUUAAACGUUGACAAAAUAUAAUUGAAAACAAAAAAAAUCUUCCCCCAAAUGGGUAAUUA
rnacentral:lncRNA from 1 species